rnacentral:rRNA from 1 species
UACGUAGGGUGCGAGCGUUAAUCGGAAUUACUGGGCGUAAAGCGUGCGCAGGCGGUUCGUUAAGUCAGAUGUGAAAUCCCCGGGCUUAACCUGGGAACUGCAUUUGUGACUGGCGAGCUAGAGUAUGGCAGAGGGGGGUAGAAUUCCACGUGUAGCAGUGAAAUGCGUAGAGAUGUGGAGGAACACCGAUGGCGAAGGCAGCCCCCUGGGCUAACACUGACGCUCAGGCGCGAAAGCGUGGGGAGCAAACAGG